rnacentral:rRNA from 1 species
GCAUAUCAAUAAGCGGAGGAAAAGAAACCAACAGGGAUUGCCUCAGUAACGGGCGAGUGAAGCGGCAACAGCUCAAAUUUGAAAUCUGGCGCCCUCGGCGUCCGAGUUGUAAUUUGUAGAGGAUGCUUCGGCGAGGGCUCCCGUCUAAGUCCCUUGGAACAGGGCGUCGCAGAGGGUGAGAAUCCCGUAUGUGAUGGGUUGCUCGAGCCAUGUGAAGCUCCUUCGACGAGUCGAGUUGUUUGGGAAUGCAGCUCUAAAUGGGAGGUAAAUUUCUUCUAAAGCUAAAUACCGGCCAGAGACCGAUAGCGCACAAGUAGAGUGAUCGAAAGAUGAAAAGCACUUUGGAAAGAGAGUUAAAAAGUACGUGAAAUUGUUGAAAGGGAAGCGCUUGCAACCAGACUCGCGCGCAGUUGCUCAGCCGGUCUCCUGACCGGUGUACUCUUCUGCGUCCGGGCCAGCAUCAGUUCGGGCGGUCGGAUAAAGGCCUCGGGAACGUGGCUCCCCUCGGGGAGUGUUAUAGCCCGGGGUGCAAUGCGGCCAGCCUGGACUGAGGAACUCGCUUCGGCUAGGAUGCUGGCGUAAUGGUUGUAAGCGGCCCGUCUUGAAACACGGACCAAGGAGUCUAACAUCUAUGCGAGUGUUUGGGUGUCAAACCCAUGCGCGUAAUGAAAGUGAACGGAGGUGGGAACCCUCACGGGUGCACCAUCGACCGAUCCUGAUGUCUUCGGAUGGAUUUGAGUAAGAGCAUAGCUGUUGGGACCCGAAAGAUGGUGAACUAUGCCUGAAUAGGGUGAAGCCAGAGGAAACUCUGGUGGAGGCUCGCAGCGGUUCUGACGUGCAAAUCGAUCGUCAAAUUUGGGUAUAGGGGCGAAAGACUAAUCGAACCAUCUAGUAGCUGGUUUCCUGCCGA